AUUGAACGCUGGCGGCAUGCCUUACACAUGCAAGUCGAACGGCAGCAUGGGUGCUUGCACCUGAUGGCGAGUGGCGAACGGGUGAGUAAUGCAUCGGAACGUACCCGGAAGUGGGGGAUAACGUAGCGAAAGUUACGCUAAUACCGCAUAUUCUGUGAGCAGGAAAGCGGGGGAUCGCAAGACCUCGCGCUUCCGGAGCGGCCGAUGUCGGAUUAGCUAGUUGGCGGGGUAAAGGCCCACCAAGGCGACGAUCCGUAGCGGGUCUGAGAGGAUGAUCCGCCACACUGGGACUGAGACACGGCCCCAGACUCCUACGGGAGGCAGCAGGUGGGGGAAUUUUGGGACAAUGGGCGCAAGCCUGAUCCAGCCAUGCCGCGUGAGUGAAGAAGGCCUUC
rnacentral:rRNA from 1 species